rnacentral:rRNA from 1 species
UACGGGGGGAGCAAGCGUUGUUCGGAUUUACUGGGCGUAAAGAGCGCGCAGGCGGUCGUUCAAGUCGCGUGUGAAAGCCCCGGCUCAACUGGGGAGGUCACGCGAUACUGAUCGACUCGAAGGCAGGAGAGGGAAGUGGAAUUCCCGGUGUAGUGGUGAAAUGCGUAGAUAGUCGGGAGGAACACCUGCGGCGAAGGCGGGUUGCUGGGCUGACACUGACGCUGAUGCGCGAAAGCCAGGGGAGCGAACGGG